ACCUGGGUGGCUGAGUCGGUUAAGCAUCUGACUUUGGCUCAGGUCAUGAUCUCAUGGUUCAUAGGUUUGAGCCCCAUGUCAGGCU
rfam:Felis catus isolate Cinnamon breed Abyssinian chromosome E2, whole genome shotgun sequence.